AAAACCGUUCCAAGUUGUUUGAUUGAUUUCCAGUGUCGUUUAGAUUUUGGACGUAUAAGCUACUAUUCACAUAUGCUGGCAAAUUUCCAUUUCUUUCCCUGCGCGUGGUAUGCAUGUAAAACGUCUUUUAUGCAAUAUUACACUUUGUCGAUAUCAAUACUCCAGUAUUUGAUAAAUAACAUAAUCUUGGUUUAUCUCUGCAAACGAUAUCGAAGAUCAAAUUAUUUAAAGAACGAAGAGAAGGGAAUCAAUAGCAAAACAACAGUUGUUUAAACACGCUAUGGAUAAAAGUGUGGGAAAGACCGUCAGUUCAAAGGCGUGACGGUUGUACCAAACAUAUGAAUAAAAGUGUGCGAAAAGGCACGACCCAGGCUAUGGGGAGUAUCCGCUUUAAAAGAUCGAUUAAUUCAAAAUGAUGAAAGAAGAAACCCCCAAAACAAAUUCCACCGAAGUUCACAAUGAACUGUAUUAUAAAAAAUACGUACCAUGAGCUGCACUCCAAUGUAGCACCAUGAUGUUCUGAUGUUGUGCUGCUGUUCUGUAAAUAUAUGCAGUUGAAUUAAACUUCCACACGAAAA